rnacentral:rRNA from 1 species
UACGGAGGGUGCAAGCGUUGCUCGGAAUUAUUGGGCGUAAAGGGUAGGUAGGUGGUCUCAUUUGCCUGGGGUGAAAGCCUUGAGCUUAACUCAAGAAGUGCCCCAGAAACGGUGAGACUGGAGUCCUGGAGAGGGUCGUGGAAUUCCCGGUGUAGCGGUGAAAUGCGUAGAGAUCGGGAGGAACAUCAGUUGCGAAGGCGGCCACCUGGACCAGCACUGACACUGAGGCACGAAAGCGUGGGGAGCAAACAGG